rnacentral:rRNA from 1 species
UGGGGAAUAUUGCACAAUGGGCGCAAGCCUGAUGCAGCCAUGCCGCGUGUAUGAAGAAGGCCUUCGGGUUGUAAAGUACUUUCAGUCGGGAGGAAGGUGGUAAGGUUAAUAACCUUAUCAAUUGACGUUACCGACAGAAGAAGCACCGGCUAACUCCGUGCCAGCAGCCGCGGUAAUACGGAGGGUGCAAGCGUUAAUCGGAAUUACUGGGCGUAAAGCGCACGCAGGCGGUUGAUUGAGUCAGAUGUGAAAUCCCCGGGCUUAACCCGGGAAUUGCAUCUGAGACUGGUCAGCAAGAGUCUUGUAGAGGGGGGUAGAAGUCCAUGUGUAGCGGUGAAAUGCGUAGAGAUGUGGAGGAAUACCGGUGGCGAAAGCGGCCCCCUGGACAAAGACUGACGCUCAGGUGCGAAAGCGUGGGGAGCAAACAGG